rnacentral:rRNA from 1 species
UGGGGAAUUUGGACAAUGGGGGAAACCCUGAUCCAGCCAUCCCGCGUGUGCGAUGAAGGCCUUCGGGUUGUAAAGCACUUUUGGCAGGAAAGAAACGUCGUGGGUUAAUACCCCGCGAAACUGACGGUACCUGCAGAAUAAGCACCGGCUAACUACGUGCCAGCAGCCGCGGUAAUACGUAGGGUGCAAGCGUUAAUCGGAAUUACUGGGCGUAAAGCGUGCGCAGGCGGUUCGGAAAGAAAGAUGUGAAAUCCCAGAGCUUAACUUUGGAACUGCAUUUUUAACUACCGGGCUAGAGUGUGUCAGAGGGAGGUGGAAUUCCGCGUGUAGCAGUGAAAUGCGUAGAUAUGCGGAGGAACACCGAUGGCGAAGGCAGCCUCCUGGGAUAACACUGACGCUCAUGCACGAAAGCGUGGGGAGCAAACAGGAUUAGAUACCCUGGUAGUCCACGCCCUAAACGAUGUCAACUAGCUGUUGGGGUCUUCGGACCUUGGUAGCGCAGCUAACGCGUGAAGUUGACCGCCUGGGGAGUACGGUCGCAAGAUUAAAACUUAAAUGAAUUG